CCUACGGGUGGCAGCAGUGGGGAAUAUUGGACAAUGGGGGGAACCCUGAUCCAGCCAUGCCGCGUGUGUGAAGAAGGCCCUCGGGUUGUAAAGCACUUUCAGUGAGGAAGAACGCCUGGUGGUUAAUACCCAUCAGGAAAGACAUCACUCACAGAAGAAGCACCGGCUAACUCCGUGCCAGCAGCCGCGGUAAUACGGAGGGUGCGAGCGUUAAUCGGAAUUACUGGGCGUAAAGCGCGCGUAAGUGGCUUGAUAAGCCGGUUGUGAAAGCCCCGGGCUCAACCUGGGAACGGCAUCCGGAACUGUCAAGCUAGAGUGCAGGAGAGGAAAGUAGAAUUGCCGGUGUAGCGGUGAAAUGCGUAGAGAUCGGGAGGAAUACCAGUGGCGAAGGCGGCCUUCUGGACUGAAACUGACACUGAGGUGCGAAAGCGUGGGUAGCAAACAGGAUUAGAUACCCUGGUAGUC
rnacentral:rRNA from 1 species